UACGUAGGGGGCGAGCGUUGUCCGGAAUUAUUGGGCGUAAAGAGCUCGUAGGCGGUUUGUCGCGUCUGCUGUGAAAACUCGGGGCUUAACUCCGGGCCUGCAGUGGGUACGGGCAGACUAGAGUGCGGUAGGGGAGACUGGAAUUCCUGGUGUAGCGGUGGAAUGCGCAGAUAUCUGGAGGAACACCGGUGGCGAAGGCGGCAUCCUGGACCGACACUGACACUGAGGAGCGAAAGCCAGGGGAGCAAACGGG
rnacentral:rRNA from 1 species